rnacentral:sRNA from 1 species
UUUUCAGUCGGGCGCUGAGUGGUUUUUCGGAUCAUGUCUGGUGGCUCCGCGGAUUAUAACAGAGAACAUGGCGGCCCAGAGGGAAUGGACCCCGAUGGUGUCAUCGAGAGCAACUGGAAUGAGAUUGUUGAUAACUUUGAUGAUAUGAAUUUAAAGGAGUCUCUUCUUCGUGGCAUCUAUGCUUACGGUUUUGAGAAGCCUUCCGCUAUUCAGCAGAGAGCUAUUAUUCCCUGUAUUAAAGGUAAAAGAAACUGGCAUUUUUAGGAAAUUGUUGUACAUAGACAUGAACCAUAAAAGGGAAAGUAACCUCUGGGGGACUAGCACCUGUUUGUAUUCCUUAAAGUGAAAUGAUGGCAAUCAUCUUUCGGGACUGACCUGAAAUGAAGAGAAUACUCAUUGCUGAUCACUUGAUUAUUUGGGCAUAAUUCAUGUUCCAAAUGGAAUACAUGGUGUGAAGUAGAAGUGACAAUUUGAUGUGGGAUCGGUAAAUAUGUAUCCUACUUUUUUUAGGGUAUGAUGUGAUUGCUCAAGCUCAGUCAGGUACUGGCAAGACAGCCACAUUUGCUAUUUCCAUCCUGCAACAGUUGGAGAUUGAGUUCAAGGAGACCCAAGCACUAGUAUUGGCCCCCACCAGAGAACUGGCUCAACAGGUAUUGAUAGUGUAGUUCAAAAAAACUGCUUGCGUGUUGCAUAGGUUUCAGGUUUCACAACUGUGAAGAAUUUAAAACUUAGUAUAAAUUGGUCCUACCAGAUCCCUCCUUUUAAUUGUCCAUGCAUGCAGGGAGUUUUUGUUGAAAGUUUUGAAAGAACUGGGUAUGCAGGUAUGGUUUGUAGGGUUGUAUACUAAUAGAUUGAGAAUCCGAAGCGCUCUCUUGGAUGUACUAGAUCUGUCCCCAUUUUUUAAGUUUGAAUGCAGUUGUGCAACAUGAAAACUGCAGUGACAUGUUACCAUUUGACUGUCUCCGUAGUUUGUGAUGCAUCUGUUGCAUGCUAUGUUUUUCAAAGCUCACUGCUAUAUUGGCUUUGAAGUAAACUUUCCUAAUAAAGCUGUAGGCUUUAUUGAGGUUAGGAUUAUAUAAGGCACAAUACCUUCUGGGGGAAAAAAUCAUUUGCCUUAGCUGUAAUUACAGAACAUAAAUUUCACUACGUACUCCCUACCUACAGUGAAGAAUAAUGUAGGAAACGUUAUUCUUGAAUUGUCCAGCUGAUGCGUGGAGCAGCAGCAUCCCAAGUUUGACAAGGCAUAAGAAAGGCAUUAAGGGAAUUUUACCUUGCAGCAGUUAGGUCGUCUGCAUUUUAAGUUUGGAAGUAGUUUUGUGCUGUGCAUGCAUAAAAGCUGUUGGCAGACCAGAUUAUAUUUGCCAUUACGCUUUAAAAAUUAGUCAUUAAUCUUGGAGUUCUGCAGGAUAAUAAUUAAGGCUUGGUUUUUAGAUCCAAAAGGUAAUUCUGGCACUUGGAGACUAUAUGGGAGCCACUUGUCAUGCCUGCAUUGGUGGAACAAAUGUUCGAAAUGAAAUGCAAAAACUGCAGGCUGAAGCACCACAUAUUGUUGUUGGUACACCCGGGAGAGUGUUUGAUAUGUUAAACAGAAGAUACCUUUCUCCAAAAUGGAUCAAAAUGUUUGUUUUGGAUGAAGCAGAUGAAAUGUUGAGCCGUGGUUUUAAGGAUCAAAUCUAUGAGAUUUUCCAAAAACUAAACACAAGUAUCCAGGUAAGCAUUACUUCACCCCCCUUAAAGGUAGAGAUGGUUUAAUGCAGGUACUGUUACAAUACAACUGACGUGUUUUAUUGUCGUUCCCCCUGCUUAAAGCACUUGAUGCAUAACUAUCUCUGUCUAACUCCAUUCCGUAGUAAGACAGAGACGCUUGGCUUCAAACAUUUUCCCUUGGGUAUUACUGUGUAAGUUGUGCUACAACAUAAUUUUCUCUUUUUAAGGUUGUGUUGCUUUCUGCCACAAUGCCAACUGAUGUGUUGGAAGUGACCAAAAAAUUCAUGAGAGAUCCAAUUCGAAUUCUGGUGAAAAAGGAAGAAUUGACCCUUGAAGGAAUCAAACAGUUUUAUAUUAAUGUUGAGAGAGAGGUAACUGUCUAAUUGUUAGACAUUAUUUUACCUUCUUGUAUAAGCACUGUGCUAAAAUUGCAGACACUAGGACCAUGUCUUGGUUUUUGCAAUAAUGCUAGCAGAGUACACACAAGAAGAAAAGUAACAGCACUAGAUUGUAAAGACUGGGGUGGACCUCUUUCUUAAUGUCCAAUGUCCUUUGUCUUAAGAUUUGGUGCAAUAUCUCAUUAGACCUAACAGAAUGAAGUUAAUUUUUAUAAUUUCUACAUUUUGAGACUGGGUUAUAAGACUGGCUAAGACUGGCCAAUUUUGGUAUUUUGGGUAGAGAUGGUUUCACUAUCUUGAAACCCUGGUCUGGUUGGAACUCUGGGCUCAAGUGCUGGGAUCCCAAAGUGCUGGGAUUACAGGCAUUAGCAUUGUGGCUGGCCCAGAAUGAAUUUUUAACUGAAGAAAGUUGGAAAAACUAAAUGACUGUUAACUUUCUCUUCUAAACAUUACAGGAGUGGAAGUUGGAUACACUUUGUGACUUGUACGAGACACUGACCAUCACGCAGGCUGUUAUUUUUCUCAAUACGAGGCGCAAGGUGGACUGGCUGACUGAGAAAAUGCAUGCCAGAGAUUUCACAGUUUCUGCUCUGGUAAGAGGUGUUCUAAAAUGUCUGAAUUUCCACUAAAGCAGGAUUCAGACUACAAUAUAGCUGUUAAGUGCUGUGUUGUCGUUCCCCCUGCUCAAAAUAAAGUUGUUUCUUAACUAUACCUGUCUGCUAGUCUCCUGUAGCAGCCAGGGACGCUUGGUCUCAUACAUGUUGAUUAAAAUUAAAUACUGACCUGACUGGUGAUUCUUGAAUUAAGGUUUAUUAAUUUGCAGCAUGGUGACAUGGACCAGAAGGAGAGAGAUGUUAUCAUGAGGGAAUUCCGGUCAGGGUCAAGUCGUGUUCUGAUCACUACUGACUUGUUGGUAAGUCUCUUAAUGCUUUUUUAAAAUCUACCAAAAGUUAGCUUUUUGGGGGGAAGGUUUUUAAGUAACCUUUGCCAGCUUGGGCUAUUUGGAAGAGUAAAAGAAGACCACACUCCACAGUGGGCUAUAUCACUUAGUAUAGUUCGCUACUCUUUUGUGGCCUACAUGACAGGUGUCAAGUUUUUUUGAAUCAGAAUUUUUAAAACAUGCCAUUGUGUUUCAGGCUCGCGGGAUUGAUGUGCAACAAGUGUCUUUGGUUAUAAAUUAUGAUCUACCUACCAAUCGUGAAAACUAUAUUCACAGGUGAGAAGCCAGCAUCUUGGCUGUAUGGAAAAAAUUCAUACGUUUUUCUACUGUGAUUUGUAUGAAAGGUAACAUCAAAUCAAGGAAUAGAUUCAGUAAAGUCAGUAGUGUUCGGUAAGAUGAUGUAAUUAAAUUUGUACUAGGGAAGGUUGAUGAGAACAAAGUGGGAAAACUUGUAAACAUUGCCCAGAUUGUGGACAUAGGUUUUUUUUUCCACAAUUGUUGGUCUUAGCUUAUGCUUGAGCUUUUAGUGAUGUUGUGUCCAUGUGUUUUUCUUGGUGAUUUUUUCUAUAGUUGGGAUUUUCUUGGUGUCGCUGGUAGCAAUUUGAGUGAACCCUGGUUUAGUUAUAGUGGCUUUAUCCCUAAAUAAAUUGAAUUGUACUUUGUUAUAUGAUGUAAAAAAAGACUUUUUAAAAAAUACAGGAGUCGAUAGCAGCAGUUGAUGACGAGAUGGCACUCAGAAACGGCGUUGACGUAAUUUAGGACGUGGAAUCAUAAGCGAAACAGCACACUGUUUGAAUAAAGAGCGAGUCGGUAUUUAUAUUUGUUUUUCUUUUGUCAUGAUUAUUUGAUUAUUUUUAAGUUGCUCCAGCUAAGGCUUUUUUUUUGUAUUAGUAUUUCUACUAGGGAACCUUUCUUAUUAGGUGGUUUGUAUUGUCUGGUUUCUAACAUGAAGGUAGCUGUUUGGCAGUUAAACACGUUUUGAGUAAUUUGAGUUACAACGUGUGAAACUGAGCAAAAAAGCAGUGAUAAGUUUGGGUUACCAUACCAAAUAUUUGUUUUCCCACUGGAAAAAAGUAAGUUUUAGAAAAUAGUUAACCUUUGCAGCAUUUGUUUACAGUUUACAGUUCCAGAAGUGCGUCGAAAUGGAUUACAUAACUGCUCUUUGUUUUAUUCCUGGUGUUCACAUCUGUCCCAGGCUGACACCUGCUCUUGGCUGGCCCACUUUGGUAUGGGCUUUAAUUUCACUACCCCAAACAUGAUACUGUCAUCUGCUUUAUAAUAAUGCUCAAGAUGCCUGAUAAAAAUCUCAUUUUGCAGCCAGACAAGCCUUGAAUCCUUUUGGCACUAACUGCAAAGGAAGAUUUUUUUCUCUAGAUAUGCAUUAGCAGCUAGUGCUCCAGUUUAGAAGCACGAACUAUAACCUUGAUAAGUAAACAGCAGCUGAUGGUUAACAAGUGGAUCGUCAUGUUCAGUAGUUUAUACAUUAUGUGAGAAGUAACAUUCUGAUUGUUUCUUUUUCUUACACAGAAUUGGCAGAGGGGGUCGAUUUGGGAGGAAAGGUGUGGCUAUAAACUUUGUUACUGAAGAAGACAAGAGGAUUCUUCGUGACAUUGAGACUUUCUACAAUACUACAGUGGAGGAGAUGCCCAUGAAUGUGGCUGACCUUAUUUAAUUCCUGGGAUGAGAGUUUUGGAUGCAGUGCUCGCUGUUGCUGAAUAGGCGAUCACAACGUGCAUUGUGCUUCUUUCUUUGGGAAUUUGAAUCUUGUCUCAAUGCUCAUAACGGAUCAGAAAUACAGAUUUUGAUAGCAAAGCGACAUUAGUCGUGAGCUCUUGUGAGGAAAGUCAUUGGCUUUAUCCUCUUUAGAGUUAGACUGUUGGGGUGGGUAUAAAAGAUGGGGUCUGUAAAAUCUUUCUUUCUUAGAAAUUUAUUUCCUAGUUCUGUAGAAAUGGUUGUAUUAGAUGUUCUCUAUCAUUUAAUAAUAUACUUGUGGACUAAAAGAUAUAAGUGCUGUAUAAAAUCAGCCAAUUAUGUUAAACUAGCAUAUCUGCCUUUAUUGUGUUGUCAUUAGCCUGAGUAGAAAGGCCUUUAAAAUUUUUUUAGAAAGCAUUUGAAUGCAUUUUGUUUGGUAUUGUAUUUAUUCAAUAAAGUAUUUAAUUAGUGCUAAGUGUGAACUGGACCCUGUUGCUAAGCCCCAGCAAGCAAUCAUCCUAGGUAGGGUUUAAUCCCCAGUAAAAUUGCCAUAUUGCACAUGUCUUAAUGAAGUUUGAAUGUUAAAUAAAUUGUAUAUUCACUUU